rnacentral:rRNA from 1 species
CCGAGUGCUUGCACUCAAUUGGAAAGAGGAGUGGCGGACGGGUGAGUAACACGUGGGUAACCUACCCAUCAGAGGGGGAUAACACUUGGAAACAGGUGCUAAUACCGCAUAACAGUUUAUGCCGCAUGGCAUAAGAGUGAAAGGCGCUUUCGGGUGUCGCUGAUGGAUGGACCCGCGGUGCAUUAGCUAGUUGGUGAGGUAACGGCUCACCAAGGCCACGAUGCAUAGCCGACCUGAGAGGGUGAUCGGCCACACUGGGACUGAGACACGGCCCAGACUCCUACGGGAGGCAGCAGUAGGGAAUCUUCGGCAAUGGACGAAAGUCUGACCGAGCAACGCCGCGUGAGUGAAGAAGGUUUUCGGAUCGUAAAACUCUGUUGUUAGAGAAGAAUAAGGACGUUAGUAACUGAACGUCCCCUGACGGUAUCUAACCAGAAAGCCACGGCUAACUACUUGCCAGCAGCCGCGGUAAUACGUAGGUGGCAAGCGUUGUCCGGAUUUAUUGGGCGUAAAGCGAGCGCAGGCGGUUUC